rnacentral:tRNA from 1 species
GCCGGGGUGGCGAAAUGGCAGACGCGGCGGACUUAAAAUCCGCUUCCCGCAAGGGAGUGUGGGUUCAAAUCCCUCCCCCGGCACCA